UUCUUCAUAGUUUAGUGGCAAUGACGUAUCCUUGUCAGUAUUAUCCUUCCAAGGGUAGUAUCUUACAGUUCGGAUAAGACCCGGGUUCAAUUCCCGGUGAGGAAG
rnacentral:tRNA from 1 species